AGAGUUUGAUUCUGGCUCAGAACGAACGCUGGCAGCGUGGAUUAGGCAUGCAAGUCGAACGGGAUCUUUUAAGUUAAUUCUUCGGAUGAGACUUUUAAGUGAGAGUGGCGGAAGGGUGAGUAAUGUAUGGGCAAUCUGCCCUCAAAGUGGGGAUAACUAUGAGAAAUUAUAGCUAAUACCGAAUGUGGCGCUGUAACGCAUGUUGCAGCUGUUAAAGGUGGGGACCUUUCGAGGCCUACCCUUUGAGGAGGAGCCCGUAUGCCAUCAGCUUGUUGGUAGUGUAAUGGACUACCAAGGCUUACGGCUAGCUGGUCUGAGAGGACGACCAGCCACACUGGGACUGAGACACUGCCCAGACUCCUACGGGAGGCUGCAGUCGAGGAUCAUUCGCAAUGAGCGAAAGCUUGACGAUGCGACGCUGCGUGGAGGAUGAAGGCCCUCGGGUCGUAAACUCCUGUCAUAAGGGAAAAAGCGAGGUGCGAUAACAUCAAACUGAGUAGAUGGUACCUUAAGAGGAAGCCACGGCUAACUCUGUGCCAGCAGCCGCGGUAAUACAGAGGUGGCGAGCGUUGUUCGGAUUUACUGGGCGUAAAGGGCGCGUAGGCGGUAUAGUAUGUCGGAUGUGAAAUCUCCAGGCUCAACCUGGAAAGUGCGUUCGAAACUGCUAAACUAGAGUACGGGAGGGGAGAUCGGAAUACAUGGUGUAGCGGUGAAAUGCGUUGAUAUCAUGUAGAACACCGGUGGCGAAGGCGGAUCUCUGGAACGUAACUGACGGUGAGGCGCGAAAGUCGGGGGAGCAAACAGGAUUAGAUACCCUGGUAGUCCCGACCGUAAACGGUGCACACUUGGGGUAGGGGGAUUUCACCCCCCCCUGUCCUGGAGCUAACGCGUUAAGUGUGCCGCCUGGGGAGUACGGCCGCAAGGUUAAAACUCAAAUAAAUUGACGGGGGCCCGCACAAGCAGAGGAGCAUGUGGCUUAAUUCGAUGCAACGCGAAGAACCUUACCCGGGUUUGACAUAUAACUGCACAUCCAUGGAAACAUGGAUUCCUUCGAGGGUGUUAUACAGGUGCUGCAUGGCUGUCGUCAGUUCGUGCCGUGAGGUGUUUGGUUAAGUCCAGCAACGAACGCAACCCCUAUGUUUAGUUGCCAGCGGGUAAUGCCGGGAACUCUAGACAGACUGCCUGUUUACACAGGAGGAAGGUGGGGACGACGUCAAGUCAGUAUGGCCCUUACAUCCGGGGCUGCACACGUGCUACAAUGGCAGGUACAAUAGGAAGCAAUACCGCGAGGUGGAGCCAAUCCCCAAAACCUGCCCCAGUUCGGAUUGUGGUCUGCAACCCGACCACAUGAAGUUGGAUUUUGCUAGUAACGGCGCAUCAGCUACGGCGCCGUGAAUACGUUCCCGGGCCUUGUACACACCGCCCGUCACAUCAUGAAAGCCGUCAGCACCCGAAUCCGGUGCACCAACCAGCAAUGGAGGGAGCCGUCUAAGGUGUGGGUGGUAAUUGGGAUGAAGUCGGAACAAGGUA
rnacentral:rRNA from 1 species